rnacentral:rRNA from 1 species
GGCUUAAACAUGCAAGUCGAGCGGAGCGAGGGUGCUUGCACCUUAGCUUAGCGGCGGACGGGUGAGUAAUGCUUAGGAAUCUGCCUAUUAGUGGGGGACAACAUUCCGAAAGGAAUGCUAAUACCGCAUACGCCCUACGGGGGAAAGCAGGGGAUCUUCGGACCUUGCGCUAAUAGAUGAGCCUAAGUCGGAUUAGCUAGUUGGUGGGGUAAAGGCCUACCAAGGCGACGAUCUGUAGCGGGUCUGAGAGGAUGAUCCGCCACACUGGGACUGAGACACGGCCCAGACUCCUACGGGAGGCAGCAGUGGGGAAUAUUGGACAAUGGGCGGAAGCCUGAUCCAGCCAUGCCGCGUGUGUGAAGAAGGCCUUUUGGUUGUAAAGCACUUUAAGCGAGGAGGAGGCUACUUAGAUUAAUACUCUAGGAUAGUGGACGUUACUCGCAGAAUAAGCACCGGCUAACUCUGUGCCAGCAGCCGCGGUAAUACAGAGGGUGCGAGCGUUAAUCGGAUUUACUGGGCGUAAAGCGUGCGUAGGCGGCUUUUUAAGUCGGAUGUGAAAUCCCCGAGCUUAACUUGGGAAUUGCAUUCGAUACUGGGAAGCUAGAGUAUGGGAGAGGAUGGUAGAAUUCCAGGUGUAGCGGUGAAAUGCGUAGAGAUCUGGAGGAAUACCGAUGGCGGAAGGCAGCCAUCUGG